rnacentral:rRNA from 1 species
AUACGGAGGAUCCGAGCGUUAUCCGGAUUUAUUGGGUUUAAAGGGUGCGCAGGCGGCCAUUUAAGUCAGCGGUUAAAUCGUGGGGCUCAACCCCAUUCUGCCGUUGAUACUGGGUGGCUUGAUUGCGGUCGAGGUUGGCGGAAUUCGUUGUGUAGCGGUGAAAUGCAUAGAUAUGACGAAGAACACCGAUUGCGUAGGCAGCUGACCAGACCGCAAAUGACGCUCAUGCACGAAAGUGCGGGGAUCGAACAGGAUUAGAUACCCUGGUAGUCCGCACAGUAAACGAUGAAUACUUGUUUUCGGCGAUAUAAUGUCGGAGGCAAAGCGAAAGCGAUAAGUAUUCCACCUGGGGAGUACGCCGGCAACGGUGAAAC